rfam:Campylobacter avium LMG 24591 chromosome, complete genome.
GUGCAAAUUCUCUGUGUUCUGUGACUUCGUUUGAGCAUGUAAAAGUGCGAGAAGCUGCAGCCUUAAGCGUUUGCCUAACGGUUUUUUUAAGACUUUGGGGUCUUAUCUUGUUUUGCGACCAUUUGGGU